rnacentral:rRNA from 1 species
UACGUUAGGGUGCAAGCGUUUGUCCGGAAUUAUUGGGCGUAAAGAGCUCGUAGGCGGUCUGUCACGUCGGCUGUGAAAUCCCGAGGCUCAACCUCGGGUCUGCAGUCGAUACGGGCAAACUAGAGUAUUGCAGGGGAGACUGGAAUUCCUGUGUAGCGGUGAAAUGCGCAGAUAUCAGGAGGAACACCGGUGGCGAAGGCGGGUCUCUGGGCCGAUACUGACGUGGAGGAGCGAAAGCGUGGGGAGCGAACAGG